CAUUAGGCUUUCUACCCCGAAUCCAAGGAACAUCGGUUCGGGCAAGGUUUCUGAAAUCAGGAGUGCAAUUCAGGCCCUUGAUGUUGAGACUGUCAUUUUCGAUGAUGAGUUAUCCCCUGGGUCACCUCGGCACAGAUGGAAUAUCAACUUCCUAGGUUGACAAAGAUGUGUGGAGUCACCUUGAACGGCAGGCGGGAGGUCAAGUUAAGGGUAUGGGUGAGAAGCAAAUUGAAGUUGACAAACGCAUCUUGAGAACUCAAAUGAAGAAUGGGACUGAGUUCCUUCUAACCGAUACUGUCGGAUUCAUUCAGAAGUUACCCACCAUGCUGGUAUAUAUCUCCAAAGCAUAUUCCUCUUCUUUAGAUGUUAUGUUCCAGAAGACUAGAACUGCAACAUACUUAUGAUUUUUGCCUUAUCCUUAUGAUGUUAACUCUUAAUAUAUUAAUUAUUGAUACUUGUCCAGGUAUUUGCUAAUUGAUCACUAAUUGUAAUCAAAUUCUAACAUUAGUAUCACGAUAAAAGUACUGCUGAUGUGAAAGUACUGCAGUAUUUCCAA